rnacentral:lncRNA from 1 species
UGGUGACAAUGCAAUUACAUGGGUGAUGAAAGAAACUGGCAAGUAAAAACUCAAAUUUCAACUAAUCUACGGGAUUCAUUUUUUUAAGUCAAGUUCCAACUUUUAUAAUUUAAUUUAUGUAAAAACACUCAACUGACAAAAACACCUCGGCUGCUCUCUGCUUUCGAGAAUUUUGAGGUUAUAUUUAUCAACCAGAAAACAAUCGACGACGUAAAAAGAGCGAUAAGUGCACAGACGUAUGACAACUGACAACCAAUCAGAUUAAAGCGACGGCUGACGUCACGUUAUUCCAACAUGCAGCCAGCCCCAGCCAAUCCCCAGCCAGCUGCCAGCCAUGAUUUUUCUGCAUUCAUCCAAGUUCCAAGUUUUGACCGUUCUAGAAAUUAUAUUAUUUAAUUUUCAGUAAAUUAGGUACAAUUUCUAUGGAUUUAUUGCACGAGUUUUAUUACAUUUUCAAAAUUUCAAUUUCGUUCACCGCUAAUAAGUUUUAUCGCCGUGCUUUUUUCUCUCGCUGGUACCCUUGUAUAAUCUGUAAGCAGAGAUGACUGAACACCAAGCUGCCAGUAUUUCCAAACCCAGCUGCAACAUGGUGGAAGAACCUAAGGAUCUCACAUUGAAGACUGCUGUUAAUAAAAAAAUUGAGGCCAAUCCCCCCGCCGCUGAACCUGUCUGAGUAGUACAUCAGAUGUUCCUUCACCAGCCUCAGCAAAUUUAGCUAGUCCAAAAAAUUCAUUUGCUCAAAAAAGCUUGCCAUUUCGAAAAAGAGCUCACAGCACAUCUGAUUCUCCUCCUCAGUCUCAAGCGCAACCUCCACAAGUGAAGCUUCAGAAUGUGCUGACACCAUCAUGGACUAUUCCUGCAUCAUUCCAAACCCUAUUCGAGUCCACUCCAAGCCCUAUGGACUUCCGUUUGCAAGAUGUCGUUCCGUACCCAAACUUUGAUCAGCGCCUAGCUCUCUCAACUUCAGUUCUUUUGAGUCCUGCCCCAUCUUCCGUCGGGAGAGCAGUAGGGAAGAGUUGCUCCUUGAAUCAGUGCGAGUUCCUUCAUUGUCUCAUUACUAUCCACAAGCAGAUCUUCCCUGUUUGGCAUUGCUUCAUCUCAGGUACUAAAAUCAAGCUGCCAGCCAAAGCAGGAGAAAGCAAUUGAAGGAUGAUGACUGGCGCCUAGUUGAUGACUUACCGCACUCUAAACUGCGACCAGAUUGGCCUGGGAAACUCACUGUCGAGCAGAUCUUCAUUAUCAAGAAUGACUGGAAAAAGGUUGAGGAUGGUUGGAAGAAGGUUGAAGAAGGAUCAAAGUUCGACUUCCGAAUUAAGUUCAGUGUCCUGAUGGUGAACUUGAAGCUCUCUGUCUCGGAUCUCAGAUGUCUUCACGACUGACAAUUUAUGGUGCUGUUUAAGUGUAGACAGGUUGCGCGGCAAUAGUCGAUUGCUUCAGGUAGGCGACAUCUGUUUGCCGCCAUCUUAUGAUACAACCAGCUUCAACUUCUCCUAUCCUCUCUGGAUGUUAGUGAGCGUUUGUACUUUCCGUUGUUCUGCCUCACAAGAUAUAUGUGAUCGAAUGCAACGGUAAGCAUUUAGAAUGUUUUCAAAUCAUAUAUAUCAAAAGCAUAAUGGUUCCUUCACCAUGGGUAUAUUUUUCUGAGGUAUCAUGAUCGAUUCUUGUAUGAAUUCUCAAUAAUGGCACCUCCAUCCAGGGGUGCAGAAAGUUUCCAUAUCAUCCCUGAAAUUGAUUUUUCUUCUCCCAAAGCCAAUCACCUUCCCCCUUGUAUCAAAAAUCACGAUUGCCUCCCUCUGAAGACUAAGAAAAAUUUAAAAAUAAAAAUUUCCAGGGAGCUCAUCAGGCCAUGCGCAGUUUUUUAGUUGAAAAGAAGAUCGAAUGUUAAUUUAAAAAUGUUGUUGAAUUAAGUCUACAGCGUUAUCUCUGUGAGUCUGAAUUUCAAACUAUCGCUGUUUGUUUAGUUUCAGCUUCCAAAACUGUGCGGACGAACCAUUGCCGAUGCUUUUCCUCCACUACACCAAACGAGAGGAAACCCAAGCAGUUCCUGACAAAGCAAAGCAAGAGCGAUGAAGCUUUCAUGCUGUUUGCCAAAACGCUAUCGCUUAGAACUAAUU